rnacentral:rRNA from 1 species
UCUAGAAGCUUCGGCAAUGGGGGAAACCCUGACCGAGCGACGCCGCGUGCAGGACGAAGGUCUUCGGAUCGUAAACUGCUUUCGCUGAGGGAGAAAUGCCUUAGGGUGAAUAAUCCUGGGGCUAGACGGUACUCAGUAAAGAAGCUCCGGCUAAGUCCGUGCCAGCAGCCGCGGUAAUACGGGCGGAGCGAGCGUUGUUCGGAUUCAUUGGGUGUAAAGGGUGCGAAGGCGGUCGUCUAAGUCGGAGGGGAAAUGUCUACGGCUUAACCGAGGCAUUGC